AGUGAACGCUGGCGGUAGGCCUAACACAUGCAAGUCGAACGGCAGCACAGUAAGAGCUUGCUCUUACGGGUGGCGAGUGGCGGACGGGUGUGGAAUACAUCGGAAUCUACUUUUUCGUGGGGGAUAACGUAGGGAAGCUUACGCUAAUACCGCAUACGACCUACGGGUGAAAGCAGGGGAUCUUCGGACCUUGCGCGAUUGAAUGAGCCGAUGUCGGAUUAGCUAGUUGGCGGGGUAAAGGCCCACCAAGGCGACGAUCCGUAGCUGGUCUGAGAGGAUGAUCAGCCACACUGGAACUGAGACACGGUCCAGACUCCUACGGGAGGCAGCAGUGGGGAAUAUUGGACAAUGGGCGCAAGCCUGAUCCAGCCAUACCGCGUGGGUGAAGAAGGCCUUCGGGUUGUAAAGCCCUUUUGUUGGGAAAGAAAAGCAGCAGGUUAAUACCCCGCUGUUCUGACGGUACCCAAAGAAUAAGCACCGGCUAACUUCGUG
rnacentral:rRNA from 1 species